AGCAGCGUGGCUCAGUGGAAAGAGCCCGGGCUUGGGAGUCAGAAGUCGUGGGUUCUAAUCCCCACCUCUGCCA
rnacentral:tRNA from 1 species